rnacentral:lncRNA from 1 species
AUUCCCCGCAAACCUUUCCGGGUCAAACUCCUUGGGGUUGCUCCAGAUUGCAGGGUCUCUGCCAAUUGCCCACACGUUUACAAAGAUCCUUGUCUUGGCAGGUACAUCGUAUCCGCAGAUCUUGAUGUGCCGCAUGGUCUCCCUCGGAACUAGAAGCGGUACCGCCGGGUGUAGCCGUAGCGUCUCCUUUACCACCAUCUUAGGGCCUGUUUGGAUCCAAGGGCUAAAUUUUAGCUCUGCACUUUUAGCCCAAAAUUUAGCUCUUGGGAUCCAAACAGGUGGGCUAAAAGUGUAGAAUAGCUAAACUUUAGCUCCUAAAUUUUAGCCCCCAAAGAGGCCCUAAAAGGGGCUAAAAGUGCUCCUCCCUCCCAAUUUCCACACCCUGCCCCUCCUUCCUCUUUCCUCUCCGCGUGGUCCCCCUCCCGCACCCCUCCCUCUCCUCCGCCUCCCACGCUCACCUCCUCUGGCCGGCCCGCCACCUCCGCCUGGCCCCGCCUCCUUCGCUCGCCACCGCCGCCCCGCCUCGCCGGCACCGGCGCCGCCGGCCGCCAGAUCUGGGGGCCACGACCGCCGGCAGGAGGGCGGACGGGGAGUUCGCCCGCCGCCGCCGCCGCCUCCGGUGGCGUCGACGGCCAUGGGUUUUGCGCGCAGGCCGCCUGCGCCUCCGCAGGCUGCUCAAGCGGUGGUGGCCAGGGGACCGGCUGCGAACUCUGCCUCGUUGUCCACGGCUUCAUCGACAACGUCCAGCUCACCGCCGACCUCAGCAGCCUCGUCGCGGCAGCUGCUGUCCGAGACCACCGCGGCCGUCGCCGACGGCAACCGCACCGCGGCCGCUGCUCACCUCGCGGCCCUGAAGAUGACCGUGAACCUGCGCGGCGACGCGGAACAGAGGCUGGUGGCCAUGAUGGCGGCUGCCCUAUCCUCCCGCAUCGGUCCGUCCUCAUCUCAACAACUCGCAGAGCUAUGCGGCCCCGAGCAGCGUGCGGCGUGCCAACUCUUGCACGACGUCUCCCCCUGCUUCGGCCUCGCCCUCCACGGCGCCAACCUCGCCAUCCUCAACGCCGCGGCCGGGCAGCGCGCCAUCCACCUGAUCGACUUCGACGUCAGCGUCGCGCAGCACAUCGCCCUCAUCCAAGCCCUCGCCAGCCGUUGGAGUCAUUAAUAAGGGCAAAUCAGUCAUUGUUUGAUGAGGACUAAAAUUUAGCCCAUGGAUCCAAACAUCCUAGCAAAACUAAAUUUUAAGGGCUAAAUUUUAGGAGCUAAAUUUUAGUCCAUGAACUUUGGAUCCAAACACCACCUUAAGAUACUUGAGUUUGGGCAAGUCGUUCGGCUCUACCCUCUCUUUGUUGCCCACCGCUGCUCUUAUCUCGUCUUGUGCCUUCUUAAGAACCUCCGGAUUUCGAAUCAGCUCAGCCAUUGCCCAGACCACCGUGACCGAGCUCGUGUCAACUCCACCGAUGAACGCAUCCUGAAAGAUUGUAUGCAUAUAACGGUUAUAAAUAAAAUAAUAUAUAGCUCUGUAAAUCCUGUUUUCUACUGUAAAUUUUAUAUGUUGAUGACGUUGCGUACCGAUAACAUUCCCUUGAUGUGGUCUCUAGUGAACCAACUGAAAGUGCCCUCGUGCUCCUUGGUGAGGCCAAUAAGGACGUCGAUGAAGCUAGGUCCAUUGUCCGGUGUGGGGCGGGACGGGUGGAGGUGGCUGUCGAUAAUCUUGUCGAAGAAAGCGUCGAGCUCCCAAAAUACCUUCUCACGGCGGGAGACGAGGCCAGUGAGAUGGUCCACAAGGCGACCCAAGACGUUGGGGAAGUAGUCCUCGGCGGAGAAGCUGCUCUUUACAGCCAUGGCCUCAUCGAACAGAUCGUGGAAGUGCUUCUUGUGUGCAAACUGCUCUGAACCGUAUAUGCUCCCAAGUGCCACCGUGCCGACAAUGCCGUCCAUGAGCGUGAAGAUGUGAUCCUCCAGGUACAGUGGUCUCCGUCCUCCGCUGGUUAAGCGGCCGAUGAGUUUGUCCACCUCGGCUUCCCUGGCUGGCCAGGUGGCCUGGACGCGGCGCGCGUUGAGGAGCUCGACAACGAUGAGCUUGCGCAUCUCGCGCCAGCAGUCGCUGUAGGGCGUGAACGCCACGUCCUUGUAGCCGUACGUCAACCGCCGCGCCCCCGGUGUGUCCGGCCGGCUGCAGAACGCGGCGUCGUGCGUCUUCAGCACCUCCCUCGCCGCCUCCGCCGACGACACCACCACUGUCGGCGCGCUGCCCAGCCGGAGCAGCAUCACUGGCCCGUGACGCCGUGCCAACUCGCCGAGGCUCCGGUGCGGCAGCGCGCCCAUGAUCUGGUGCCGGUUGCCCAGGACAGGCAGCCUCAUUGGACCGGGCGGCAGGUGGAGGCGGCCCCCUUUGGUGGAGAAGUGUUAGUGCAACAGCUGACGGGCAACAGUCAGCAGCGACAUCGUCUGGAGCAGCUGCAGCGUAGGCAAAGGAAGCUGGGCCGCGCCGAGGCAACCGGCCCAGGAAGGCUAACGUUCUGAUGUAUGGCCCAGAAUGGGUGUAACCUGUGUGUGCGUGCGUGAGUCCGCUAGUCAUAAAAGGAGGCGCGUGAGAAGGAAUAGGCAUCGAAAAGAACAUCUGUAACAACUAUCCUCUGUUCUAAGAACUAUCCGUCCGAUCCCAUCUAAGUUCUUGCUUCCAAUCCUAAAUUCUCUGCUAUAUUCCUGCCCUUGCUUCUGUGUUGCUAACAUCUGGUAUCAGAGACACCGAUUCCUGCGGAAAGCCACGUCGAUCUGGAUCCGCUCCUGAAUCACGAACACUUUACUCGCCGUCAGAGACGUCUGGGCGCCAUGGAUCCCAAUACCAAGCUGUUGCUGGAUGAGAUGGACAAGCGCUUCUCUGCCCUAGAUGCCAAGUGGGAGAAGAAGUUUGAGGAUCUGGCGCAUGCCAAGGAGGGGCACCUAGGUGUUCUGGAAAAUGCUCAGGAAGAAAUCAUAUCCUGGAAGCCGUCCGUUGAUGCGGCCAUGGAGGGUAUCAAGCUUGAGCUCAAGCGGCUCACCAAGCAAUGGGACCGCUCUGUGAUGGAGAGCACUGUGGUUGAUGCGGGCUUACUCACCAAGCCUGAGUCGGUGGCCGCGCGCCCACCUGCCGGAUUUUCCACCGACGGGCCCAGUGGGCACCACGACGAACUCCAUCAUCGGGAUCAGGGAUUUCAGUCCAUGGCGACCUUAAUUCCUGGCCCGGUCAAGGGUAUGACCGAUUCUUACUCACAUCCUUCACAUGCUAAAUUCCAUGGCUCUCUGUAUGAUUCCUCUGUUGUGCGGGCUCGGUCUGCUGAUCAGGUGCCUCGCUUCGGGGGCAAAUUGCCGAAGAUUUCGUUUCCUGUGUUUGAUGGGUACCACCCUAGAUUAUGGAUCUCUAGGUGUGAGAUAUAUUUUGACAUGUUCCAUGUAGAUCCAGUCGAUUGGAUUAGGGUGGCUUCCAUGCAUGUCUCUCCUGCUGUGGCUUGUUGGUUUCAGUCUGUCGAACGGAAAUACCCGUUGCUCAACUGGCCUUUGUUUUGUUCUGCUUUGCAUGAGCGCUAUGGCAAAGAUCAGUAUCAGUUGCUGCUUAGGCAAUUAUUUCGUAUCAAACAAUUAGGUUCAGUUGCCGAGUACAUUGAUCAGUUUAGCACUUUAGUGGAUCAAUUAUCUGCUUAUGAGUCAGUUCCUGACCCAUUGUUCUUUUGUACUCGAUUUGUUGAUGGUUUGCGUGAUGAUCUUCGCGCUGUUGUCCUUGUUCAACGUCCGUCAGACUUGGAUACUGCUUGUGCUCUCGCCCUUUUGCAGGAAGAAGUGGCUGAACCGGCCAAGCGCAAGGACUUUCGUAAACCUGAAGCUGUUUCCUGGGGCAAAUAUUCUGCAAAGAAUCCCUUGCCUUUACCUGCACCACCACCAUCCAUGGGUUCUGUCAAGUUAACUUUACCUGUGGAUCAACGUUCUCUUCCAGCGGCUCGAUCAGUUGAAGACAAGGUUUCUGCUCUUCGUGCCUUCAGGCGUGCUAAGGGACUGUGUGACAGGUGUGCUGAAAAGUGGCAUCGGGGUCACACUUGUGCUACCACAGUUCAACUGCAAGCAAUUCAGUUAGUGUGGGAACUCUUCAAUGUUGAGGAAUUAUAGGCUCCUUCAGAGUCUGGGGUAUCUCCGGAGGAUCAUCUAUUUUUAGCCAUUUCUGCAGAGGCUGUUUCUGGUGCUGAAGGAAAACGGUCCAUGCAGUUGCUUGGGGAGAUGAAUGGUUGCAAGGUCCACAUCCUUAUUGAUUCUGGAAGCACAAAUUCUUUUAUCAGUCAACAAGUUGUGGAUCACAUGCCUGCUUUGUCUCUGUGCUCAGCCAAUGUGCAAGUUAAAGUUGCUAAUGGGGGUCUCAUGGCUUGUGUCUCGGCUGUUUCUCAGGCCACUUGGACAAUUCAGGGUUGUGUUUUUCAGCAGCAACUAAAAAUUUUGCCAUUGCAGUCUUAUGACAUCAUUUUGGGAAUGGAUUGGUUGGAACAUUUUAGCCCCAUGAAGGUCCAUUGGCGCCACAAAUGGAUGAUCAUUCCUUAUGCUGGAUCUUCAGCUGUUCUCCAGGGUCAGUCAUCUGAUUGUGAUCAGGAGUUGUUGAUUCAGAUAAAUACAAUAUCUCAGCAGUCAUCUUCAGAUGGGGUGAGUGAGUUUCAUCCUGACAUUGCCAAACUGUUAGAGCAAUUCCAAGUUGUGUUUGCUUCUCCUACUGCUUUACCUCCUGUCAGGGACUGUGAUCAUAGUAUACCUCUAAUUCCUGGGGCUCGGCCUUUUACUAUCAGACCUUACAGAUAUCCUCCCUCACUGAAAGAUGAGAUUGAAUGGCAAGUUGCUGAAAUGGUUCAAUUGGGUAUCAUUAGACCCAGUUCUUCUCCAUUUUCUUCCCCUGUGCUAUUGGUCAGGAAAAAGGAUGGCACCUUUCGGUUCUGUGUGGAUUACAGAUAUCUGAAUGCUCUCACACUUAAAGGGAAGUUUCCUAUUCCUGUCUUUGACCAGCUGAUGGAUGAGUUGGCAGGUGCUAGCUGGUUUGCAACUCUGGAUUUGAUUUCGGGUUAUCAUCAAGUUCGGUUAAAACCAGGAGAAGAAUAUAAAACCGCAUUUCAAACUCACCAUGGGCAGUUUGAGUUUCUGGUCAUGGCUUUUGGAUUGUCUGGUGCUCCUGGAACUUUUCAGGGUGCUAUGAAUUCCACUUUAGCUCCCUUACUCAGGCGAUGUGUUAUUGUGUUCUUUGAUGAUAUUCUUAUUUACAGCAAAUCCUUUGAGGACCACAUAACACAUUUGAAGGAGGUGUUAACUCUAUUGCAGCAACACCAGUGGCAUGUCAAGUUAUCUAAGUGCAAGUUUGCACAGAGGGAGAUUUCUUACUUGGGCCACAGAAUUAGUCAGGCUGGUGUUUCUACAGAUGAAGCCAAAGUGGAGGCUAUUGUUAGUUGGCCAAUGCCGACCUCAGUCAAGGAGUUAAGAAGCUUUUUGGGGUUAGCUGGUUACUACAGGAAAUUUGUGAAACACUUUGCUGUGAUUGCCAAGCCCCUCACUGAUUUGCUCAAAAAAAGGUGUGUUGUUUGUGUGGACACAAGAUCAGGAGUUAGCCUUUGCUACCUUGAAACAAGCUCUUAGUUCUGCUCCUGUGUUAGCCUUGCCUGACUUCUCUAGGCAGUUUUGCAUUGAAACAGAUGCUUGCAAAAAUGGGGUUGGUGCUGUUCUUAUCCAAGAUGGGCAUCCCUUAGCCUUCAUUAGUAAACCUCUGGGAGUUAAAACUCAAGGGCUGUCUACUUAUGAGAAAGAAUAUUUGGCCAUUUUGAUUGCUAUUGAGCAGUGGAGAUCUUAUUUGUUACAUGCUGAAUUUAUUAUCUUCACUGAUCAAAAGAGCCUGAUGCAUUUAAAUGAGCAAAGACUGAACACACCUUGGCAGCAGAAAGUUUUUACCAAGUUAUUGGGGAUGCAGUACAAAGUUGUCUAUAAACCAGGGUCUGAAAAUCGAGUGGCAGAUGCCUUGUCCAGAAGAGUUCAAGAGGGUCCUGCUUGUUUAUCUAUGUCAGUGGUCUCCCCUCAAUGGAGCAAGGAUAUCAUGGAGGGCUAUUAUGCUGACCCCGCUUCUAAAGCGUUGAUUUCCAAGCUAGUAAUUAAUGCUGAAUCUGUCCCUGAUUUUUCCUUUCAAGAUGGGUUGCUUCGAUUUAAAGGAAAAAUUUGGCUGGGUCAUAAUUUUGUUGUGCAGCAACAAGUGAUGUAGGCCUUACAUAGUUCUGCAGUUGGGGGUCACUCCGGCUUUCCAGUUACUUAUCACCGUGUUAAGCAGAUGUUUGCCUGGCCUGGCAUGAGGAAAGCCAUACAUACAUUUGUGACAACUUGUCAAGUCUGUCAGCAGGCCAAGGUUGAACGGGUUAAAUAUCCUGGUUUGCUCCAACCACUUCCUAUUCCUUCAGGUGCUUGGCAGACUAUAAGUUUGGAUUUUGUGGAAGGUUUACCACUCUCUGGUGGCAAGACCUGUGUUUUGGUAGUCGUCGAUACUUUUUCGAAGUUCAGUCAUUUUAUUCCCAUGAGACAUCCUUUUACUGCUGCCAUAGUCGCCAAAUUGUUUAUGCAACAUGUGUACAAGCUCCAUGGAAUGCCUUCUGCUAUAGUGUCUGACAGGGACAGGAUUUUUACUAGUCAUUUUUGGAAGGCCUUGUUUGCUCUUGCUGGAGUUACAUUGUGCAUGAGUUCCUCUUAUCACCCUCAGUCAGAUGGUCAGACUGAGCGGGUUAACCAAUGCAUGGAGACAUUUCUCCGAUGUUUUGUUAAUGCCUGUCCUACUAAGUGGGUGGAGUGGAUUUACUUAGCUGAAUUUUGGUAUAACUCAAGUUGGCAUUCAACUUUGGGAUUUUCUCCUUUUGAGGUGUUGUAUGGUUAUGUCCCGAAGCAUUUUGGCAUUGACUUGCUGUCAGCUUGUCCUGUUGCAUCCUUGGAGGAAUGGCUUCAAGAUAAAACUGUUAUGACUGAAUUAGUGCAGCAGCAUUUAUCUCGCGCCAAGCAUCGCAUGAAGCAGCAAGCUGAUAAGCAUCGCUCAGAGCGCUGUUUUGAAGUGGGCACUAUGGUGUAUUUGAAGUUACAACCAUAUGUGCAAUCAUCCUUGGCCCCUCGUGCUAAUCAGAAGCUGGCAUUCCGUUAUUUUGGUCCUUUCAAAAUAUUAUCCAAGGUGGGUUCUGUUGCUUACAAAUUGGACUUACCGGCCUCUUCGGCAGUGCACCCUGUUUUUCAUGUUUCGCAGCUGAAGAAGGCUUUAGCUUCGUCUGAAGAGGUUGCCCAGCUACCUGUGAACCUUGAAGGCCUUCAAAUUCCAGAGAAGAUUCUUCGCCGUCGCAUGUCAGCCGAGGGUGUGCCGCAGGUGCUUGUCAAAUGGUCGGCCAUGCCUCGUUCUCUAGCAACCUGGGAGGACUUGACACCGUUGAAGCAGCGUUUUCCACAAGCUCCUGCUUGGGGACAAGCAGGUUUUCUUCAAGGGGGGGAUGUUAGUGCAACAGCUGACGGGCAACAGUCAGCAGCGACAUCGUCUGGAGCAGCUGCAGCGCAGGCAAAGGAAGCUGGGCCGCGCCGAGGCAACCGGCUCAGGAAGGCUAACGUUCUGAUGUAUGGCCCAGAAUGGGUGUAACCUGUGUGUGCGUGCGUGAGUCCGCUAGUCAUAAAAGGAGGCGCGUGAGAAGGAAUAGGCAUCGAAAAGAACAUCUGUAACAACUAUCCUCUGUUCUAAGAACUAUCCGUCCGAUCCCAUCUAAGUUCUUGCUUCCAAUCCUAAAUUCUCUGCUAUAUUCCUGCCCUUGCUUCUGUGUUGCUAACAAGAAGUCUCUUGUUGUUGCAAGAGCGAGCGUGAGGAGAACUAGAAGAAAGAGGGUGGUGACAGGGAGCUGCCAUUGCCAUUGUUGAUGCAAGAAGAAGUCUGCUAGGGCAGUCAAAGACAUGGCGGCCACUGUUGAUCUCUUAGGUUGAAGGGGCUGCAGGUUUCCUCCUCUCCAAACUAGAGUUAACUAUGUGGUACAUGUGCUCGGCUUAGUUAUGGGAGUGUAAUAUAAAUAGGGCGAACCAAACCUUGCUGCAAGCUUUGGCGUUUUCUUGCUACAAAUGAAAUGACCUCCAUCCUCCGUCGGUCCUUGUGUUAGCUGAAGUAGGGUGGUGUUUGGUUGGCACAAAUGUAACGUAAUCUGAUUACUGAAGGUAACAAAUUUCAUUACAUAUGUUUGGUUACGGCGGUUUGUAAUCAAUUUACACUGUAAUCUAAUCCCUUACCUAAAUAAUAUAUAUACAAGCUUGUUAUACCCCUCCUCCCCCACUGUAAUCAGAUACAACACCCAUACCGUAAUCUGAUUACGUUACCAGAGUGCAACCAAACAAAGAGGGUAAUCAUCCAUUCCACCACUAAAUACACUGUAAUCUGAUUCCCUUUGCGUUUACGUUACCUUAGCGCGAACCAAACACUAUCUAGAUACCAUGCAUGAGCUCAUAGCUACAACUUGGAAUAUCAAUCCAGCUACACAUACUUGAUAUAGAUCGAUAUGAUGACUAGCAUCGUGCUGGAAGAUCUAAUACAAGCACUAAUUAUGAUACCUGUCAAAACAAAACCAGGCAACCAAAAAGUUCUCAAGUCAAACAAAGAAACUGAAGUCCAUAUAAAUAUAUGAUCUAAUGUAAUCCGUUUAUUAGCAUUGGGAUGCUCUAAUCAGCUCUUUGACGUCACAGUUAACUCAAAUGAAUUCCCACUCAACUGCUCCUAAGUAUUACGAAUAUAUAUAUAUAUAUAUAUAUACAUAUAUAUAUAUAUAUAUAUAUAUAUAUAUGACGAACACUGACUUAGCUACCUUGACAUCGCGAUAGAUCUAGCGCUCCCAAUGCCAACUGCUCCCUGUAUACUUUGAGCCAAUCACAUUGCAUACCAAGCGAGUUGAUUAAGUUCCUUGCGGUGGAAUGUGCUCAGCUGGCCUGUUCAAGUCUUUAAGUUCAGGUGAUUGCACGUACCCAUCAACAGCUCAAGGCGCCCGGAGAAGUUCAUAGGAUCAUGUCAAAUUUAGUAGCCCGGCAAUCGGGGGUUACCCAAGGGGUUGAUUUGUAGGUAAGGAGGAUUGCGAGACUAAGAACUCGAAGGUGAUCAUGAGAACGAGAGUUUAGACAGGUUCGAACCUCCGGAGAUUAAUACCCUACGUCCUGUAUUUUGGUAGUUUGUAUUGCUUGAGAAUUGAGAUGCUCUCGGGAGGCGCCCUUGGCUGCCUUAUAUAGCCUGACGACCUAGCGUUACAAGUCGAUUUGAAUCUAGUCUAGCUGGUUGUUACAUGGAAAGCAAUCUGAGUCAGAUUACAACAAAUAUCCCGCAAUAUCUGGGCUGAUUUGAAUCGCCCAGCCUCAUUGACUUGUGCUCCAAGUAUCUUCUUGUCCUUGGGCCGCAUGUUUUGGUUGGGUGGACCCACUUGUCAGGACCGGCCAAUAUCCUGGUCGGUGGGGACCCAUGCGAUACCCAUAUCCCUCAUAUUAUAUUAGGGUUUGUGCAUAUCUACGUUCAUAAAGAUGACUGUGCAUGCAUGUAUAUAUGAACGUCUAGCAAAAACACACAUAUUGAUCACCAAAUUAAAUCAGUGGCCCAUAUCAUAUCAUGAAUGCUUAUCAUGACCGACUUGGCAAUGAUGUCAGAGAUGCAUAAGGUGAUGCAAGCCUUGUGUUUAAUUUUGGCUAUUUCUGUUAAUUUUGCAAGUUUGUGCAUGUGAGAAUAUGAAUAUGGCAUAUGGCAUUCUUUGGCAUUGGUCCUUGCAUUAUUUGGAUGGUGCGGGGAUUAAGAAUUGCGCACAUACAUCAACAAGUAAUUGUUAUUUGGAAGUAUCUAAGGUGGUGUUUGGAUCACUAGUUCAUGAGCUAAACUUUAGCUCCAAAAAUUUAGCCCCUAAAAUUUAGUUUGCUGGAGUGUUUGGAUCCAUGGGCUAAAUUUUAGUCCUCAUCAAACAAUGACUGAUUUGCCCUUCUUAAUGACUCCCUCCUCUUCCUUUCCCUCCUCUCUCUCCUCUCCCCUCUCUCUCCAUCAACUCGCCAGGGACCUCAAGCGGCGGUACGCCAGGGACCCGAUGCCGCCGUGCGUGCGCUCCCGCCCCACGUUCCUCACUUCUUCCGGGACACGACCCCGCCUCCAUGCGGAGAAGAAUAGAAGAUGCAUCGUGCGCGCAAGAAAAAUCUCAUCAUCCUAGCGGACGCCAAGGAUCCGGGGUCCGGCCGGAGCAGACCCGGCCGGCGCGGCCAGGAGCGCCGCCACCCUCGCGGCGCACGCCGACGAGCAGCGGCACCUGCUCCGGACCUACGAGAUCACGGCGCGCAAGCUGGAGGCCGAGCUUCGGGCGCGGGACGCCGAGGCCGGCCGCGCCCGCGCCGCGCUCACCGACGAGCUCCGCGCCGCGUGAGGCAGAGGUGGCGGGGACAGCGGCGGCGGCCGGCGAGGCGAGGCGAGGUGGAGACAGCGGCGGCGGCGGGCGAACUCCCCGUCCUCCCUCCUGCCGGCGGCCACGGCCCCCAGAUUUGGCGGCCGGCAGCAUCGAGGCCGCCGGCGGCAGGCCGGCGAGGCGGCGACGACGGGCGAAGGAGGCGGAGGAGGCGGGCUUGGGAGGCGGAGGAGAGGGAGGGGUGCGGGAGGAGGGACCACGCGGAGAGGAGAGAGGAAGGGGGCAGGGGGUGGAAAUUGGGGGGAGGAGCACUUUUAGCCCCUUUUAGGGCCUCUUUGGGGGCUAAAAUUUAGCUCCCAAAGUUUAGCUAUUUGUCACUUUUAACCUACCUGUUUGGAUUCCAAGAGCUAAAUUUUGGACUAAAAGUGCAGAGCUAAAAUUUAGCCCUUGGAUCAAACAUGCCUAAGUAUCUAUCUGCAUGUGGGCGCGUGAAUCGAACAGCCAAAGGCGAGCGCUGAUUGUGAUUGAUUCUAAAAUUAAAUUGAUUCCAACGCCUGCCGGCUACUUGUUUAUUCAAUCUUCUCUUGUUGCUAGAUUACGAGAAUCUUGCACUGUUUGAUAAGCAACGACGAGAGGAGAUUUAUAUAGUAGAAGACUUUGACUGAGCAGCCAGCUGGUCAAGAUUAUCAAACGCAAGCAACCUACCCCUUCCGGUGUAAAACGCAAGCCGCCUCUAGUUUUAUAUCUUUUACUAUGCAUAAACGCUCGUAUGCAUAGCAAAAUUUAUGAAUCUAAAAAGGUUAAAAUGACCAAUUAGCUGGUGUAUGUAUUUGAACAUGCACUUAGCUCACACUCCAAACCAUGCUAAGGGGGUGUUUGAUACGAGGUGCUAAACUUUAACAGUAUCACAUCGGAUGUUCGGAUGCUAAUUAGGAGAACUAAAUAUGAGCUAAUUAUAAAAUUAAUUGCAGAAGUCUGUGCUAAUUCGUGAGAUGAAUCUAUUAAGCCUAAUUAAUCCACCAUUAGCAAAUGGUUACUGUAGCACCACAUUGUCAAAUCAUGGACUAAUUAGGCUUAAUAGAUUCGUCUCGCGAAUUACACUCCAAUUGUGCAAUUAGUUUUGUAAUUAAUCUAUAUUUAAUACUUUUAAUUAGUAUCCAAACAUCCGAUGUGACGAGUGUCAAACUUUAACAUGUUGGAGCCAAACAGGCCCUAAAUUAGACCACCGAGCUAGCCUAGCGGUGCUGGUAUCCAGAGCGGAGACGGCAAGGCCGCAAGGAGGUGAUGAAGGCGCAAAACAUCGACUGCUGCAGCCGCCAAAUUAAAUCAAUGGCCCUUCCGAUGCAUGACGAGCACUUGGUGAUGCAUUCGGUGACGCACACCUUGUGACGCAUUCUUUGUCGCUGGUCCUUGCAUUAAUUAUUUGGACGGCGCGGAUUAAAAAUACAUCAGCAAUUAUUGUUACUUGCAUUAUUUGGACGGCGCGAAUUAAAAAUUAAAAAUUGAUUCCAACGCCUGCCUGCUGCUUCGUCAUUCAAUCAGUCUCGAUCGCGCACGUUGCGGAGACAAUGCCAACUACUUGUUUUUAAAUAUCUUCUCUUAGCGGUCGUCAAUAUUCUUAACAGAACACGCCUUAAUUCGUGAUAGCCUCUGAUCUUCUAUCAUGCCUAAACGUUAGGACGCGAGACAAAGCUCUCCGUAGCAUGUGGGUAUUUUAGAUGCCAAAUUUAGCUGGGUAUGUUAUAUUUUGGAAUGACAUGUGUGGGUAAUUUAGAAAAAGAUCGGGUUACUUUAGGUUAUUUUUUAUAACAGCAGAACUGUGUAUUUAAAUAUAAAUUUAGUGGGUUAUUUUAGACUAUUUUUCUAAUGGAAGUGAUGCAUAAUUAUUUUAUAAAAUGUAAUAGAUCCCUCCAGUGGCUAUAGUGAUUAAUUUCUAGGAUUUAUUUUUUUUAAGGCGUCUCAUGCGUUGAGGCUAAAAAGAAUAUCUAAUUAGUAAUUGUCUUUAGAAAAUGGAAUUUUUAUUCCAACCUCUGCAUACGUUAUGCACCUAACCAUUUAUUAUAACAGUAUCACCUUCCAGCUGUUUGAGAACGAGAUUUCAAAAGGCAAUACCAACAAAAAAAAAUGAUGACGCCAAUUAAAAGGUAAGCCUAUCAGAUGAUAUCAUCCGUGCUCGGCGAAAACAUCCAUAGCCACAGUCUCCAACAUACGACAUGCCUUCUUCAAACUCGACGUGUCGUUCUCCUUUUGAAGGAUGGUCCAUAACUGUGUCCAAUAAGUGAUCCUAAAAAUAAUCAGCAAUUAAGAAUAUAAUCUUUUAUUAUCAAAAACUGCAUCGUUGCGGCACAACCAAAUAGACUAAAAAAAUGCACGUCUUGCCACACAAACUUGAGGUCGCAUUUUCCAGUUUAUUUGUUGGAGCCAAACCUCGAAAAAAUCAGCUUCAUUAGUUGGCCGUUGUAAACCAAAUACAAUUUGAAUAACUCUCCAAGCAAAUCGUGCAACAUGACAGCAAAAAAAUAAAUGAUGUAUGGUUUCCUUAUUGUUACAGAAACAACAAACCUAACAAAUACCUUGAAUUUGAGGGGUACAUUUACCUCUCCGGUUCCGCUUUAAGAGGUUGUCUUUUAUUAAAAUGACCCCCUUUAGCACAAACCUAGCAAAUACCUUGAUUUUGAGGGGUACAUUCAGUUUCCAUAUAGAUUUAUUUAGAGGAAAAGCAAUUUGAUUUACCAGAUGUUUGUACAUUGACUACACUGUAAAAUUUCCUUGUUUCGUAAGGCUCCAUUUAAUGAAAUCACAUUGGUCAUCUAAUUGCACAAAUGAAACUUUUGCAACUAACUCAUCUAAUUAGUAACAGUAAGAUACUUGAUAUAUGAAUAAAGUAUUCAAAAUCAUCUUGCAUUUUUAAAAAAGAGCGAAUAGCCCACAUCGUGACCCACUCACGAUAGUCUCAUUCACACAUUCAGUAAUUGUAUCAAGCACCAAGCACUCACCUGCAAGGUACAAAUUCUUUUUAAGUACAAUACAUCCACCAUAAAUGAAGUUGCAUCAGUUUCACUUUGGUCCAAUAAGUAUGAAGUUGCAUAUAUGUAGAUUCAAUUUGAUACAUGAUACAUGUCAUCACCUACACAAUUGCUUUGUGUUUUUCCCUUUGGAGACACAAAACACAAUCUACUAGUCUUUUAGAAUAAAAAUCACAUUCAGUUGACACAAGCUAAUGGCCUUUCACUAUACUAAGCACCAUUACGAGGUUAAAAAAAAAGGUGAGGUCCAGUUUUCAAUCUAGGAAUUUUAGCAAAGAGGUCUAGGAUUUCGCCGGGAGGGGAACCUUUUGAAGUUUUGAUUGGACAUGACAUAAGUGCGGGUUUUUGUGCAACAUGCCAAUUUCUUUUGUAUUAACCACGUCUGCAGAAUAAGCACUGUAUGCACACAUAGAACAACUUAGUGUAUUGUGGGAACAACAUUAGCAAUUUUUUAAACUAAAAUGAAAGAAAUGAUGCGCUUUGUAUAUGAUUGAUGCACUUUACUUUUUCUUUCAAGAGCACGCAAUGCACGCAUAUUCAUUUAGAAGAAGAGAGUAGUAGCGCAUGCUGGUCAAGGUUGUUCGUUGACACAACGCGAGCCAAACCGGACACUCUAAAUAAAUGAACUUUUAGGCAAAACAAUGCGCGACCAACGCAACGGAUAGAUACAUAAAGCGAGAAGCACCUAGGUCACAUUAAUUCCACACCUAGGAACAAUGGCCACCCCACUGCUCCCCUCCGAGCUCCUCGCCGGCCUGCCGCAGCAAUGGCUGCUCGGCCUCUUGCUUCUGUUAGAAAACUAGGCAUAUUUCAAUACAUUUUAAUUCCAAAAUUAAACACAUAAAUGAUUAUCAUGAAUAUGUUGAGUGACUCGGUGAUAGCAUGAUAUGUGCAAGUAUUCAAGUUUAAUAUCCUAAUAAAUAAGAACAAACAGAACCAAAAGAGAUUCGGGAUGUACCCUAGGGCAGGGCCAGUGCUGGAGGCACUGGAUGCGCCGUUACCAUCUGGAUUAGUCAUAUUAAUCGUGGGAUGACCUCAGUCGAUGUAGUCGUACAAAGUUGAUGCAGUAUGGUGUGCGCCGUGCAGUCCCUCGAACAACCUUCUUGAAGUAGUUGGAGGUAGUUGAACAGAGAGCGAACAGUCGCGUCAAACGCUCCCCAAAAAUCUUAUCGCAUGCCUAUCCCGAACAAGAUUUUCAGCAGCAGACGAGGUUCCGGAGGCUCUGCUCUCACUAGUACUAUGCAUGUAGCACUAGCGAUGGGAAUACAAGGUUGAAGCAGAAAACAGUGAGGGAGAAAGAGAGUGUUGGUGUUUUUCCCUUCUGAGAGCCAGAGAAGGUGCCUCUCUUAUAUAGGCUCCAAGAGGUGAGGUUCAUCGAGCCUGGACAUCAUAAUGCGAUGGAAGUUACUAGUAAUUGAUGGGAAUAAUGAUCAUCAAGCACUAUUAACUCUCAGUAUUUUAUUGGCUGUGUUAAUUGAGUGAAUCAAUUCUCGUAAAUAGCAAUAAUCACCUCUCCUCAACUUCCCAUUCAAAAUUGACCAAUUAGUAACUCGUAACAUUUAUCAUGGACCUUUUAAUUCUUAUUUGAUUAAUUGAAAUAAAUGGGCCUAACCCAAUUAAUCUAACAAUCCCCACCAAAAAUUUCAAGGUACACAAAAAUACUCUCAGUUCCAUUGUAAUCUUUGAUAUACCAGUAUUUCUGUGGAGACUGUUAAGUUGAACAUCCACCUAGAACUAAGGUUACACUUAUUUACAACUAAACAAUGGACUAUGCCUUGAAUUGUCAGUCUUGUGUGAACAAGCUUGGUCAGAGCCCUUUACUGAUACUAGGUUGCGAAAGCAUCCUCGCAGUUUGGAGCUUAUAAGUCAUACUCCAGACCUUUCAUGGGUUUCUAGAGAUGGCCCAAUCUCAUAGACUACGACAGUAGUCAAACCCAUAUAGGUGUAUUCCUCAAAAGAUGUUAUGUAGGAAAAUAUCUUUGCUUCAAAGUAAACAACACCCUUGUUUCUAAUAAGCCACUUGGAACACAUUAAGGUAUAACCCAACCUGCAAUAAAGAAUUAGAAGAGAUAUGCAUCUUCACUAGAAUGAGCCUUUUACAAAGGAUCUCUUCUCUUAGUCAGACUAUAGCUUAUUUCACCACUCUACUUCACGGGAUGUCCGAUCACAUAGAGCAAAUUACCACCAUAGAAAGACUCACGUGGGUCUCAAGCCCAAUUCCAUCGAUGCAUUGUCAAUCAUGUUUCGUGAAAGACCCUUUGUGAAUUGAUCUACCAGAUUCUUAGAUGUAUGGACAUUGUCCAAUGCUAUUACUUCGGAGUUUCUCAGUUUUCUAAUAGAUUUCAACCGCCUUUUCACAUGCCUAGUUAACUUCAUGUUAUCCUUAGAACUGUUUAUCUUGAUUAUCACUAUCUAGUUAUCAGAGUUCAUAGAAAUAGCUGGUAUCGGUUUUUCAACUACCAGUAAAUCCAUAAGGAGUUCACGAAGCCACUCAACUUCAACAGUGGCGGUAUCUAACACUAUGAGUUCUGCUUCCAUUGUUGACCUUAUUAAAAUGAUCUGCUUGUAAGACUUCCAUGAAACAAUGCCACCUCCAAGUGAGAACACAUAUCCACUUGUGGCGUAAACCUCAUCAGCAUUAGAUAUCCAGUUUGCAUCACUAUAACUCUCUAGUACCCUCGGGUAGCCAGUGUAGUGUAUGCCAUAGCUCAUAGUACCUUUUAGAUAGCGCAAUAUUCUCUCAAGAGCAUGCCAGUGAUCAUCUCUCGGAUUUGAAACAAACCGGCUGAGUUUGCUCAUAGAAAAUGAGAUGUCAAGCCUCGUUGCACUAGCCAAAUAUAAAAGAGAGCCAAUAAUUUGAUAAUAUCUCAAUUGAUCUCAUGCUAUUCUCCGAUUUUUCCUUAAUAGCACACUCGGAUCAUAAGGAGUUGGAGCAGAUGUGCAAUCACUAUAUCCAAAGCGAUUCAACAUCUUUUCCACAUAGUGGGAUUGCACAAGAGUAACCCCACCAUUUCCUUCUCUUAGUAGCUUUAUGUUAAGAAUAACAUCAGCUUCUCCAUAUCUUUCAUUUCAAAGUUACUAGACAAAAAGUCUUUCACUUCCUUGAUCACAUUGACAUUAUUUCCAAAGGUUAGUAUAUCAUCCACAUAUAAGCACAAGAUCACACCUUCUCCCCCACCAUACCGAUAAUAAACACAUUUAUCAGCUUCAUUCACAAUAAAGCCAACUGAUGUCAAAGUUUUAUCGAGCUUUUCAUGCCACUGCUGAGGCACUUGCUUUAGGCCAUACAAAGAUUUCAACAACUUACACACCUUACCCUCUUGACCAUUUGUUACAAAACCAUCAGACUGAUCCAUAUAGAUCUCUUCCUCAAACUCUCCAUUCAAGAAAGCUAUCUUAACAUCCAUCUAAUGAAUGAGAAGAUCGUGUGAGGCAGCCAAGGAAAGUAACACUCGUAUGGUCAUUAAACGGGCAACUGGUGAAUAAGUGUCAAAAUAAUCUUCGCCUUCUUUCUGGGUAUAACCCUUGGCCACAAGCCUUGCCUUGUACUUCUCAAUAGUACCAUCAGGCCUAAGCUUUUUCUUGAACACCCAUUUACAUCCUACAGAUUUGCACCGAAAGGAUGAUCAACAACCUCCCAAGUUCCAUUAGACAUAAUGGAAUCCAUCUCAUUCCGUACCGCUUCCUUCCAAUAGUCAGCAUCAGGAGAGGAAUGCCUCUUCUAUGGUCUUUGGAGUGUCAUCCACAAGGUACACAGUGAAAUCAUCAUAAAAAAAACUUUGCAGUCUUUUAUCUCUUGCUCCUCCUAGGAGCUUCAUCGCUGUCCUCCUCUGGAUUUCCCACAUGGGCUUCAGCAUCAACGUGUAUUACCGAUUCAUGUGUUUCAGGCAAUAAAAUAGAUUUAUGACUAGAAGUGAUGGGUGUAUUUUUCAUAGGAAACUCAUUCUCAAAAAAAUGUAGCAUCUCUGGACUCCAUAAUUGUACCAAUGUGCAUGUCAGGUACUCCGGAUUUUAUUAUUAAAAAUCUAUACUCAAUGAUGUGAAAAGCAUAGCCUAGAAAGAUACAAUCAACUGUUUUGGUUCGAGUUUGCGUUUCUUAGCAACUGGUAUGUUAACCUUUGCUAAACAACCCCAAGUACGCAAAUAUGAGAGUAUCAACCUUUUAUUCUCCCAUUCCUCGAAUGGUGUCUUCUCUUUAUUUUUCAUAGGAGAGUAUCAACCUUUUAUUCUCCCAUUCCUCGAAUGGUGUCUUCUCUUUAUUUUUCAUAGGAACUCUGUUAAUAUAGCCUCACCCCACCAUUCUCAAGAAUGUUCUGUUGUUUCUAACAUGGCGUUAACCAUCUCAGUUAGAAUGCGGUUCUUCCUUUUAGCCACUCCAUUUGAGUUAGGAGAAUAGAGUGGUGUUCUCUCAUGGACAAUACCAUGUCCCUCACAAAACAAAUUAAACUCAUUUGAGAAGUACUCUCCACCUCGAUCCGAUCUAACAUGUUUUAAAUAAUGCAACGCUUCAUCUUUUGAUUUUAACAGGUACACAUAGCAAAAUCCAGUACAAUCAUCUAUUAAUAUCAUGAAAUAUCUUUUGCCACCUUUGGUCAACACACCAUUCAUUUCGCACAAAUCAAAAUAAAUUAAUUCUAAUGGUGCCAAGUUCCUCACCGCAGCAGCCUUGUGAGGCUUGCGAGACUGCUUCGAUUGCAUACAUUCAUGGCAUUUAUAAUCUUUGACCAAGUUAAAUUUUGGAAUUAAAUUCAUACCAGCUAAGUGUGUCAUACAACCAAAGUUUACAUGAUAUAAGCAUGAAUGCCAAACAUUUGUCUCAUUAUCAUAGCUCACAUGGUUCAUAGAAUUAAAACAAGCAUCGGAUAAAGACAAGCGGAACAAGCCUCCGCUAUCGUACCCUUUACUAACAAACGUUCCAUACAUACAAUAUACAUUUAUUGGACUCAAACACAAGUUUAUAGCACCUCGACAUAGAAACGAACCACUAAUUAAAUUAUUCCUUAUUGAGGGGACAUGCUGCACGUUCUUCAGCCGCAUGAUCUUUCCCAAGUAAGCUUCAGAUCGACCAUACCAACACCACGAACAGCUGCACGUGCUCCAUUCCCUAUUAGCAAGGAUGAAGUUCUCCCAUCCUGAUAAGAAGAAAACAAGAAAAUAUCAGCACACACAUGAAUAUUGGCACCAAUAUCAAUCCACCAAUCAGGUGUAUGACAAAUUGAAAGAACUGUAGGUAAUAAAUUACCAUACCCCGAUGUUCCUCCAUCAGCCUCAAUCAUGUUGGCAGAUUUCUUCUUGGGCUUCCACUUGCUCUCUGGGCAAUCCCUAGCAUAAAGCUUGGGGUUGCCACAAGUGUAGCAGUUUUCUUUUUCCACAUUAUUCUUCUUCUUCUUAAAAGGAGUAAAAGGAGUAGUGUUCUUUUGUUUAAGCUCUUGCUUGAAAUUCUUCUUGUGGGAAUUUUGAGGUUUCUUCUGCACUACAUGGGCACUAGAAAUUCCCUCAACAAUUUUCUUGCCACGGACAUCCUUAACUCUUGCCUUCUCUUCAACAUCUAUAAACCCAAUGAGGUCGGCAAUGCCAAACUCUUGUCUCUUAUGCUUUAGAGAAGUAGCAAAAUGUGUCCAAGUCUGUAGCAUCUGUCCAAGACGACCAAGAAUGGGGCGCGUCGUCUGUUGCCGGGCCCCGCUCAGGUGCCUGUCCUGGGCCACCUGCACCUUCUGGGCCCGCUGCCACACUGGAACCUCCAGGACUUUGCCCGGCGGCACGGCCCCGUGAUGCUGCUGCGGCUGGGCACGGUGGCGACGGUGGUGGUGUCCAGCGCGGCGGCGGCGGCGCGGGAGGUGAUGAAGGAGCACAUCGACUGCUGCAGCCGGCCUGUGUCGCCAGGCCCAAGCGCAUCUCCUACGGCCUCAACGACGUCAUCUUCGCGCCCUACGGCGAGCAAUGGUGCGAGAUACGCAAGCUCUUCAUCGUCGAGCUCCUCAGCAUGCGCCGCGUCCAGGCCGCGUCGUACGCGCGCGAGCAGCAGGUGGACAGGAUGAUCGCCCGCCUGAGCCGCGCGGCGCCGGCGACGGCGGUGGCGCUGAAUGAGCACGUCUUCGCGGUUGCAGAUGGCAUCGUCGGCUCAGUGGCGUUCGGGAACAUCUACGGCACGAAGCGGUUCGCCCACAGGGAGCGGUUCCAGCACGUGAUGGACGUGGCCACAGACAUGAUGGCCAGCUUCUCCGCCGAGGACUUCUUCCCCAACGCCGCCGGCCGCCUCGUCGACCGCGUCACGGGCCUCGUCGCCCGACGCGAGCGCAUUUUCAGGGAGCUCGACGCCUUCUUCGAGAAGGUCAUCGACCAGCACAUGGACCCCGCGCGCGUUGUCCACGAGAACGGCGGUGACGUCGUCGACGUCCUCAUCAGCCUGUGGAAGGAGCACCACCGGGGCACGCUCCGCUUCACCCGGGACCACGUCAUGGGCCUCAUCAUGGACACGUUCAUCGGCGGCAUCGACACGAGCUUGGUGACGCUGCUGUGGGCGAUGUCGAGGUUGAUGCGGAAGCCGCGGGUGCUGAGGAAGGUGCAGGACGAGGUGAGGGCUGUCGUGGGCGGCAAGGCACGCGUGGACCCCGACGACGUGCCCAAGCUCCCGCACCUGAAGAUGGUUCGUGUCGGCACCCAUAACAGGUAUCACUCCCAACUCCUAUGCUCCUCAACCAUGUACUCGCAACAAGUACCAAACAGGGAACGUCCGAGAACGGACCCCAAGCUCCCAAUCCAAAGAUUAGGUUGUGUAAAGCUUACCCCCGUCAAAUAUCCCAAAAAAAAACUUUCUCCUACCGGUUUUAACCCCACACACGCCAAGAGUCCUAAUCAAGAGAUCCCAUACACAUGCAAGCACCGCACAUAGCAUAUAUAUAAGUACUAUGGUCCCAUCGAUAGCCUUUUAAUUUGCGAAUUUGUAUUUGAGUUGGAAAUUAAUUUAAAAUUCAACUUUUUGGUGUUGGUAGAAUUUGGCCAUCAUUUGUAAUAUGAGGUUGAAGCCGAAAUUUUCUUCCAUUAUUUAAAAAAAUAAUGUAGCCUUAUGGCACGUGUGCUUACCAUCCAAGAAACAACCAGCUCCCAAGAUAAUGUUGGGGGCGCGGGGGGACCGGCGCCACAUGGAACCUACUGCUUUUGCUUGUUUUCCGCGCUAUGACUGUCAUCAACUAAUCAGCAACAAGCACAGCAGCGAGCGAGAUUCAUGUGGCCAGGCGAGGCGAACGGUGGCCAGGAUGCGGGAACCAAACAUGUCAUAAGUCUAGGUAAGCAUUAUUGCUACAGUGUAUGUUGAUAAGCCCUAGUGGAGUACUAGGUAAUCAUGUGAUGGACCACCUAAAAAACCAGCGGAGAAACUGUGACAAGUAGCUAUACAAUAAUAAAGCUUAUCAACUACUCCGUCAAGUCAAAUCUUGUUUGGCAGUUCGUGUGGUGUUUUGCUAUAUACUCCGUCCAUAAAAAAAUAUAGCUAUGCUUAUAUUUGUUCUAAGUCACAUACUUUUAUUUCUUUGCCAACAAUAUCUCUAACAAUUAUUAUGAUAGUUGGUAUGUCAUUAACAAUUUAUAUAGUUAAACUUAAAUUUUUUAACUUAGGAUAAAUCUAAACAUAAUAUAACUGCAUUGGAGCAGGAGACUGAAGGACCUCAUUCAUGAAUAUAUGGAUGAAGGAUGGGAGACCCUGGAGAGUUCAGCCUUAGCUCCUACAAGUAAAAGAAUGUCCAAGCCAAAUUUGCUGCUCCUAUUGAGCUACUGGUUAGCAGUAGUACUAGUUCUUAGCUGUCCAUGCAUGCAAUUUGCAGUUUGAACUUAGGGUCCGUUUUAUUGGAUUCACACAAUCAAUCCAUUAGCUGCUAGUUGGAAUUAACUGGAAUUAGUUACUUAUUCUUAUAGCUUGUGGGGGUAUAAAUAGGGCGCUAAUUGCUUCUGAAGUAGUAUAACCUUUUUACAGGUUGUAUUCAGGGAACAUAUUGGCUUCGGUUUUGGGCUCAAUUGCAGGGACUGAAGCCGAAGAAUACUUGACUGAAGCAUGCCGUACAUUGGAGAUGACGGCUCUACACUUCAUUAGUUCCCAUUGAUAGCCUUUUAAUUUGCGAAUUUGUAUUUGAGUUGGAAAUUUUGUUAAAAUUCAACUUUUUCGUGUUGGUAGAAUUUGGCCAUCAUUUGUAAUAUGAGGUUGAAGCCGAAAUUUUCUUCCAUUAUUUAAAAAAAAUAAUGUAGCCUUAUGACAUGUGUGGUUACCAUCAAGCAACAACCAGCUCCCAAGAUAAUGUUGGGGCGCGGGGGGAUCGGCGUCACAUGAAACCUACUGCUUUUGCUUGUUUUCCGCGCUAUGACUGCCAUCAACUAAUCAGCAACAAGCACAGCAGCGAGCAAGAUUCAUGUGGCCUGGCAAGGCGAACGGUGGCCAGGAUGCAGGAACCAAACAUGUCAUAAGUCUAGGUAAGCAUUAUUGCUACAGUGUAUGUUGAUAAGCUCUAGUGGAGUACUAGGUAAUCUUGUGAUGGACCAUAAAAAACCAGCGGAGAAACUAUGACAAGUAGCUAUACAAUAAUAGAGCUUAUCAACUACUCCGUCAAGUCAAAUCUUGUUUGGCAAUUCGUGUGGUGUUUUGCUAUAUACUCCGUCCAUAAAAAAAUAUAGCUAUGCUUAUAUUUGUUCUAAGUCACAUACUUUUAUUUCUUUGCCAACAAUAUCUCUAACAAUUAUUAUGAUAGUUGGUAUGUCAUUAACAAUUUAUAUAGUUAAAGUUAAAUUUUUUUAACUUAGGAUAAAUCUAAACAUAAUAUAACUGCAUUGGAGCAGGAGACCGAAGGAUCUCAUUCAAGAAUAUAUAUGCAUGAAGGAUGGGAGACCCUGGAGAGUUCAGCAUUAGCUCCUACUAGUAAAAGAAUGUCCAAGCCAAAUUUGCUACUCCUAUUGAGCUACUGGUUAGCAGUAGUACUAGUUCGUAGCUGUCCAUGCAUGCAAUUUGCAGUUUGAACUUAGGGCCUGUUUUAUUGGAUUCACACAAUCAAUCCAUUAGCUGCUAGUUGGAAUUAACUGGAAUUAGUUACUUAUUCUUCUAGCUUGUGGGGGUAUAAAUAGGGCGCUAAUUGCUUUUGAAGUAGUAUAACUUUUUUGCAGGUUCUAUUUAGGGGAACAUAUUAGCUUCGGUUUUAGGCUCAUUUGCAGGGACUGAAGCCGAAGAAUACUUGACUGAAGCAUGCCGUACAUUGGAGAUGACGGCUCUACACUUCUUUAGUUCCCAUGGAUAGCCUUUUAAUAAAUUUAUUAGUAGCCCUAACAUGGAUAUAGGGAUAAUACAUAGCCCACUUCGAAACUAUAGAUUUCAAACUAUGUAACUCUUGGCCUUAUGUAUCUUACUAAAAUGGAUUAUUUACACCUUGUACAAUGCGCAUACAAAGUUUCGUAACAUUUGAAGUUCAAAUACUAUUUUAUUUAGAUGGUUGUAAAUUGAAUUGGGUACCCUUUGUCACGCCAGGCACGAUGGCGCGACAAAAUCACGUUGUCACACCACAUGCAUUGCCGUGAUAGGAGCGUUCCACAUCAUCGGCUCUUGCCAGCGUGGUGGUCUUGUCGUGCCAAUGCAUGUGGCGCGACAACGUGAUCAUGUCGAGCCACGUGGAUUGACGCGACUAAAAGGGUCACCAGAUGGAAAUAUUUGUUAAGAGGGGUUAUUUCUAAAACUAUAUUGAAAAAUGGUUAAAAUUAAAAAACCUAAUAAUAGAGCUUAUUAUCAACUAUCCGUCAAGUCAAAUCUUGUUUGGCAGUUUGUGUGGCGUUUCACGUACUUCCUCCGUUCCAAAUUGUAUAUUAUUUUGAGUGCAUAGUUUUUAGCUAUGCACCUAAUGAUAUAAUGUAUGUCUAGAUACUUAUGAAGUAGUAUAACCCUUUUGCAGGUUCUAUUCAGGGGAACAUAUUAGCUUCGGUUUUAGGCUCAAUUGCAGGGACUGAAGCCGAAGAAUACUUGACUGAAGUGUGCCGUACAUUGGAGAUGACGGCUCUACACUUCUUUAGUUCCCAUGGAUAGCCUUUUAAUUUGCGAAUUUGUAUUUGAGUUGGAAGUUUUGUUAAAUUCAACUAUUUGGUGUUGGUAGAAUUUGGCCAUCAUUUGUAAUAUGAGGUUGAAGCCGAAAUUUUCUUCCAUUAUCUAACAAAAAUAAUGUUUGAUCACCCUCUCCCAGGCCAAUAAUAUAAUACGCUACUCCCUCCUCCCAAUAAUUUAAUGCUUGGCGAGUUGAGAUAUAUAUGCAAGAAAUUAAUGCAUGCGGAUAGAAUUUCUACAGUAACGUAGAGUGUCUAUGUGAGAUCGAUCGUGAGGUGGAGAGCAGUAGACGAUCGACAUUAUUUGCAUCGGAAGUGGCCUAUAAGGGUAGUCACAAGGGUCGGUAUCUACUCUCUACAACAUUUCCACGUUAGUUUUUGUCUUCCAACGUCUCUCUGCUCUGGCACCAAAUAUCUAUCCCACGGUUAAGUGAAUGAAAUGAAUCAAGAGAAUAUCGAUCAUGUAAUGGACCAUCUAAAAAAUGAGCGGAGAGAGUAUGACUAGCUAGCUAAUAAUAGAGCUUAUUAUCAACUAUCCGUCAAGUCAAAUCUUGUUUGGCAGUUUGUGUGGUGUUUCACGUACUCCCUCCAUUUCAAAUUGUUUGGCAGUUCGAGACCAUCGAAGUGGACCUCAAACUUGCAGAUUUCCGUGCAGUAAGUAUCCAUGGUUUCCUUAGUGCAGUUCCAACUCUUGUUGACCUACUCCAUGACGACCUUGGAGUCGCCGUACGCAAGGAUGCGCUUGAUUCUGAGGGAAACGGUAAUGCAGAGGCCGUGAAUGAGAGCCUUGUACUUGGCACCGUUGUUGGUGGCCUUGUAGUGGAUUUGAAGAACGUAUUUGAGGACAUGAAGAGCUCAUCAACUACUCCCUUCUAAGUCAAAUCUUGUUGGGUAGUUUGAGUGGUAUUUUGGUAUGCUCCAUCCAUGUAAGAGCAUAGCUAUGUUUAUGUUUGUCCUAAAUCAUACACAUUUAUUUUUGAUCAAUAAUAGCUCUAAAAAUUAUUUAUUUUAAAUAUAAAAAUUGCAUAUUACGAUAGUAUGUGUACGAUUGUCCUGAAUCAAGCAGGCUAUGCAUUUUUGUUUUGUUUUUAGAUGGUCCCUGCAAUUGAUUACCACAAACUUUUCGAGAUCCCACAUCAUAUAUAUAUAUAUAUAUAUAUAUAUAUAUAUAUAUAUAUAUCACAAAUGAUCGGAUUUAUUUAGAUAUUACAAGUGUCUUGGAUGUCAGAGAUCACAUGACGAUGAACGCCGGUGAGCUCCCAGGAACACACACGAACAUGAGUAGACACAAGAGGAUUUUGUGCUGCGAUGAAGCUGCAGCUUUUUUGUUGUUGUAUUCUCUGUUUUAUUAACCGAUUACAAGUGAAAGGAAAACAAGCCCACGAGCGCUUCUCUUGCUGUGACAAUGCCACGUCCAUCCUCACGACACACGACGCGAGAGCGUAUCCCGUAGCCCAAAGACUCGGUCUGUUGUGAGCUAGUCUCGCCACAACCUGAACUAACAUGCAAGGCCAUCACACAACUCGUGGGCUCAUGCAUGUAACAGACACGACACAAAAUAAAGCAACUAAGAUACGUACAAGAUUUGGCUAACAUUGGAUCCAUAAGCGGUCUUGGUAAUAUAAGCUGGUCAUGACUCAUGAUCUCUGCCACUCGUACCUGGUCGGCACAAGCACGAGGGGGACCUUCUUGUUGACGGUGAGCCCUCCUGCCUCUUCCAUGCUCACAUCCUCCGUCGUCAUACCAUCUGGGAGCUCCCACUCGAAGCAGUGGAGCAGGUUGGCCAGCGUGAACUCUACUAUCGUCACCCCCAUGGCCACUCCAGGGCACAUCCUACGUCCGGCGCCGAAUGGCAGAAGCUCAAAAUGUGCCCCAUUGAAGUUGACACCAUUCCCCUCAAACCUAUCUGGGUCAAAUUCCUCGGGGUUACUCCAGCUUGCAGGGUCCCUGCCAAUUGUCCAAACAUUUACAAAGAUCCUUGUCUUGGCAGGCACAUCGUAUCCGCAGAUCUUGAUGUGCCGCAUGGUCUCCCUCGGAGCUAGAAGCGGUACCACCGGGUGUAGUCGUAGCGUCUCCUUUACCACCAUCUU